AGCAGCCGCGGUAAUUCCAGCUCCAAUAGCGUAUAUUAAAGUUGUUGCAGUUAAAAAGCUCGUAGUUGAAUUUUGGAUUCUGCCAAUUGGUCCAUCUUUUAGAUGAGUACUGGUUGUGUGGGGUCUAUCCGCCUGGUGAUACGUAAUGUCCUUUAUUGGAUGUUGCGGGUAGUCAGGACCUUUACCUUGAAAAAAUUAGAGUGUUUAAAGCAGGCAUUUUUGCUCGAAUACAUUAGCAUGGAAUAAUAGAAUAGGACGGCAUGGUUCUAUUUUGUUGGUUUCUAGGAUCACCGUAAUGAUUAAUAGGGAUAGUUGGGGGCAUUAGUAUUCAAUUGUCAGAGGUGAAAUUCUUGGAUUUAUUGAAGACUAACUACUGCGAAAGCAUUUGCCAAGGAUGUUUUCAUUAAUCAAGAACGAAAGUUAGGGGAUCGAAGACGAUCAGAUACCGUCGUAGUCUUAACCAUAAACUAUGCCGACUAGGAAUCAGACGAUGUUAAUUUUUUAAUGACUCGUUUGGCACCUUACG
rnacentral:rRNA from 1 species